rnacentral:lncRNA from 1 species
AUUUAUUAAAACAUUUUAAAGUGACUUUCAAAUAUUUUUUCAUGAAAAACUUGUAAUAUUUUUUGAAUCUAUUCAUGGUUUAAACUGGAUCGGUUUUUUCUAAAAUUCCAAAAUUUUUUUUUCAGAAUAUCUUUUAUAUACUCUUGUGAUUAUAUUAAAUAUGAUAUGAGCUGCAGAAAAGGACAUAUCAGGUUGCAAGUUUGAAAUCAUUGAUUUAAAGGGACCCUAUAGAUUUUUUAUUUAAGUUUCCUCUAUAAGAUGAAAGUUAAUUCAUUUCAGUAUGUUAAAGUAUCUGAUGAUUCUGUUGACAAAGAUGAAAUGGCUCAUAUCUGUCAGGCAAUAGCUGAUUAAUAAAAACUGAUUAAUUGACAAAUAUAAUCAAUUACUAAUUAUCUACUGAUUAAUUAAUAAUCAGUAGAUAACUAGUAAUUUCUUAAUGGAAACUAUAUUAAAACUGUGUGAACAAGGUUCUAUAUUCUUUUCUGAUGAAUAAUUAUAGCAUAUUUUUAUCAGAGAGAUGUAUACAUAGAUUUAACUCUAAAAAAUUGAAGCAUAAAAGUGAGAAGAAAAGGGAAGGAUCCUGCCAGAAGUGUGACAAAUCACUAGUAGAAAAAAAAUGCAUUUUAAUUGCAUCACAUGAUAUACAGAUGAGACAAUGGGGGAAAUCUAUCUUAUUCAAAUAUAAAUUGUGAAUGAUACAUUUCUGAUAACCAGAAAAUUGAAUCAAAAUCUUAGUCAUUGGUAUUGUAGUAUAUUCAUAUCAUUAAAUUUUUAAUUUUCUUUUCUAAAGUUAUAGUAUUCUCUGUGUAAAUAAAAGAUAAUGUAUUAAC